rnacentral:rRNA from 1 species
CCCUUAGAUGUUCUGGGCUGCACGCGCGCUACACUGAAGCUAUCAACACGUUUUCCCUCCCUGAGAAGGGCGGGUAACCUUUUGAAUCAGCUUCGUGGUAGGGAUCGGGGCUUGCAAUUGUUCCCCGUGAACCAGGAAUUCCUAGUAGACGCGAGUCAUAAGCUCGCAUCGAUUAAGUCCCUGCCCUUUGUACACACCGCCCGUCGCUACUACCGAUUGAACGUUUUAGUGAGGCAUUUGGACCGACGCAUCUCAGUUUAACCGCUGGUUUGUGUUGGAAAGACUUCCAAACUUGAGCGUUUAGAGGAAGUAAAAGUCGUAAC